rnacentral:rRNA from 1 species
UGAGCAAUCUGCCCUUCUCAUCGGAAUAAGCGUUGGAAACGACGUCUAAUGCCGAAUACGACCUCCUUUCGCAUGAUCGGAGGUGGAAAGCUCCGGCGGAGAAGGAUGAGCUCGCGGCCUAUCAGCUAGUUGGUGUGGAUAACGGCCCACCAAGGCGACGACGGGUAGCCGGCCUGAGAGGGUGACCGGCCACACUGGGACUGAGACACGGCCCAGACUCCUACGGGAGCAG